UGCCGCCUGGGAAGUACGUACGCAAGUAUGAAACUUAAAGGAAUUGGCGGGGGAGCACCACAAGGGGUGAAGCCUGCGGUUCAAUUGGAGUCAACGCCAGAAAUCUUACCUGGGGAGACAGCAGAAUGAAGGUCAAGCUGAAGACUUUACCAGACACGCUGAGAGGUGGUGCAUGGCCGUCGCCAGCUCGUGCCGUGAGAUGUCCUGUUAAGUCAGGUAACGAGCGAGACCCCUGCGUCUAGUUGCUACCAUUACUCUCUGGAGCAGUGGAGCGAAUUAGACGGGCCGCNNNANUUAAUGUGGAGGAAGGAAGGGGCCACGGCAGGUCAGUAUGCCCCGAAACCCUAGGGCUACACGCGGGCUGCAAUGGUAUUGACAAUGUGUUCCGAAUCCGAAAGGAGGAGGCAAUCAUCANACAAUAUCUCAGUUAUGACUGAGGGCUGUAACUCGCCCUCACGAAUAUGGAAUCCCUAGUAACCGCGCGUCACUACCGCGCGGUGAAU
rnacentral:rRNA from 1 species